AUAUUAUAUGAAACCACGGGGGGGCGGGGGCCCGGGUUUUUUUUAAUUUUUUACUCGCUCAGGACGAACGCGGGGGCGUGCUUAAUACAUACAAGUCGAGCGGACAGAUGGGAGCUUGCUCCCUGAUGUUAGCGGCGGACGGGUGAGUAACACGUGGGUAACACGCCCGUAAGAGUGGGAUAACUCUGGGAAACCGGGGCUAAUACCGGAUGGUUGUUUGAUCCGCAUGGUUCAAACUUAAAAGGUGGCUUCGGCUACCACUUACAGAUGGACCCGUGGCGCAUUAGAUAGUUGGUGAGGUAACGGCUCUCCAAGGCAACGAUGCGUAGCCGACCUGAGAGGGUGAUCUGCCACACUGGGAGUGAGACACGGCCCAGAGUCUUAUGGGAGGCAGCACUAGGGAAUCUUCUGCAAUGGACGAAAGUCUGACGGAGCAACGCCGCGUGAGUGAUGAAGGUUUUCGGAUCUUAAAGCUCUGUUGUUAGGGAAGAACAAGUUCCGUUGGAAUAGGGCGGUACCUUGACGGUACCUAACCAGAAAGCCACGGCUAACUACGUGCCAGCAGCCGCGGUAAUACGUAGGUGGCCAGCGUUGUCCGGAAUUAUUGGGGGUAAAGGGCUCGCAGGCGGUUUAUUAAGUUUGAUGUGAAAGCCCCCGGCUCAACCUGGGAGGGUCAUUGGAAACUGGGGAACUUGAGUGCAGAAGAGGAGAGUGGAAUUCCACGUGUAGCGGUGAAAUGCGUAGAGAUGUGGAGGAACACCAGUGGCGAAGGCGACUUUCUGGUCUGUAACUGACGCUGAGGAGCGAAAGCGUGGGGAGCGAACAGGAUUAGAUACCCUGGUAGUCCACGCCGUAAACGAUGAGUGCUAAGUGUUAGGGGGUUUCCGCCCCUUAGUGCUGCAGCUAACGCAUAAGCAAUCCGCCUGGAGUACGGAGC
rnacentral:rRNA from 1 species